rnacentral:rRNA from 1 species
AGAGUUUGAUCCUGGCUCAGGAUGAACGCUGGCGGUAUGCUUAACACAUGCAAGUCGAACGGUACCUUCGGGUAUAGUGGCGGACGGGUGAGUAACGCGUGAGAAUCUGUCUUCAGGUCGGGGACAACAGUUAGAAAUGACUGCUAAUACCGGAUGUGCCUUAUGGUGAAAGAUUAAUUGCCUGAAAAAGAGCUCGCGUCAGAUUAGCUAGUAGGUGGUGUAAGAGACUACCUAGGCUCCGAUCUGUAGCUGGUCUGAGAGGACGAUCAGCCACACUGGAACUGAGACACGGUCCAGACUCCUACGGGAGGCAGCAGUGGGGAAUUUUCCGCAAUGGGCGAAAGCCUGACGGAGCAAUACCGCGUGAGGGACGAAGGCUCUUGGGUCGUAAACCUCUUUUCUCAAGGAAGAUUAAGACGGUACUUGAGGAAUAAGCAUCGGCUAACUCUGUGCCAGCAGCCGCGGUAAUACAGAGGAUGCAAGCGUUAUCCGGAAUGAUUGGGCGUAAAGCGUCCGCAGGUGGUUAAAUAAGUCUGCUGUUAAAGCGUUAGGCUCAACCUAAUAAGGGCAGUGGAAACUAUUAGACUAGAGUAUGUUAGGGGUAGAGGGAAUUCCCAGUGUAGCGGUGAAAUGCGUAGAGAUUGGGAAGAACACCGGUGGCGAAAGCGCUCUGCUAG